AUGUGGAGCACCUGGACGUGGGGAAGUCACGGACUACUUUGAGCGGAUAGUCUACUUGGCGAUAGAGGAGGCUCAGAGAGAGAAGGGACUUAACAAAGUCGAUAUCUGAAAGUUCAGAAAGAAAAAGACCCGCUACUGCAGGACUGGACUCCAGGGAAAACUCUUUCUCUGAUCUCUGCAGGUGGUCUGAGAAACAGGAGGCCGGGAUGGGCGCCUCUGCCCUCCAGUGAUCCUCUGCAGAGCACUGAAGGAAACGGACUGAGCAGAAUCCGUAAUGACAUCUUUUCCAACUUGGAGAAGCCCUGACGUUUAAGCCUCUGCCCAGUCCUCCAUCCUGUCUGACUCUCUGUUAGAAGCUUCUACUGGUUUUUAAACUAUAAAGCUUUAAAAAGAAAACUAAAUUUUCCCCAAAUGCAAGGCCACCUAGGAAUCUGCACAUCCACCCACUAUUCUUUUGUCCAUGAGGUUUGCAACUAAAUGCUGCUCCAGCAGGUCUGGUUGUCCACAUCAUCCAGUCGUCUACUCUUGGGAAUAAUUAUAUAUUUACACAUGGAGGGGGGAAAAAAUCAGAGGAGAAAACGUGAUUUGUAAAGAGAAAUGAAAAGUAGGUGUCAAUUUGUUUGCAAAGUGGAAUUCAUCAAGGGUAAAGCUCUUUUGGACCUGGGUCCUGAGAUUCCUUAAUCAGUAGAAAUUAGUAAAAGGCCAACGAAUUCAAGCAGGACUUUACUGGGACUCGCAUUUCAGCAUGAGAGGCAGAACAAGAAACAGGUGCUCAUGCUCACUCUGUGAGGAAGGCAGGCUGGUGCCUUAAAUAGGGUGAGGGUAGGGGUGGACUCGGAGAAGGACAUGGCAACCCACUCCAGUGUUCUUGCCUGGAGAAUCCCGGAGAUGGGGGAGCCUGCUGGGCUGCCGUCUAUGGGGUCGCACAGAGUCGGACACGACUGAAGCGACUUAGCAGCAGCAGCAAGAAAAUUAAAACAGUAAAACUUGGACCUUCCUCGGGACAUGCUUGAAAAACAAAGGAAAUUUACACUCAUCUAUAUCAAUUUGAGAAUCUUCAAUGCUACAAUCAAAUAUUCUAAGUAGGAAAAUUUUAUAAAGUCAUUUCAAGAAAAUCACUGCUAGAGAAGAGGCAUGAGGCUAUCAUCACCAUGAGAAACUGGUGGGACUCCUGAAGGUACAACCCUUGUGGCACUAGUGGUAAAGAACCUGCCUGUCAAUGCAGGAGACGUAAGAGACUCGGGUUCGAUCCCUGAUUCAGGAAGAUCCCCUGAAGGAGGAAACAGCAACCCACUCCAGUAUUCUUGCCUAGAGAAUCCCAUGAGCAGAGGAACCUGGCGGGCUACAGUCCAUGGAAUCACAAAGAGUUGGACAUGACUGAAGUGACUGAGCAUGCACAUCCUGAGAUUUGGAUUUUUGGUGGUAAAGAGAGUUUUUACUUUUUGUCGCUUUUACUUUUUAUCACUUGUCUAUACACAACAUACAUCGGAGGCUGAUUAUUUUCUGUCAGUUUUUGAGCACAUGCAAAAGAAAUAUAUUUUUGUAUAAUCAGGUAAUAACAUUGUUUUACAUCUAAUGUCAUUAUGGAAUAGUGUGAUUUGACUGACAAAUACCAACAGCAAACUUUCAAUAUUUUGACUGUGCAUGUCAAUAGCUAUUGGGCUUCCUUUGUGACUCAGCUGGUAAAAAAUCCUCCUGCAAUGCAAGAGACCUGAAGACCUGGGUUUGAUCCCUGGGUUGGGAAGAUCCCCCUGGAGAAGGGAAAGGCUACCCACUCCAGUAUUCUGGCCUGGAGAAUUCCAUGGACUAUAUAGUCCAUGGGGUAACAAAGAGUCAUACAUGACUGAGCGAAUUCACUGUCAAUAACCAAGGAUGUUUAUAAAACCUUUUCAUAGCAUUGAUUUCUCUUAGGCACUAGGACAAAAUAACUCUCAAUUUUUAAAUAUUGUAUUGGCCCAUUUGAAACUUUUAUGUGUAAUUGCAUAAAAUGGAUUUUCUAUAUUAAGUUUCUAGCAAUAUAAGGGAGAAGACAAUGGCAACCCACUCCGGUACUCUUGCCUGGAAAAUCCCAUGGACGGAGGAGCCUGGUAGGAUGCAGUCCAUGGGGUUGCUAAGAGUCAGACAUGACUGAGAGACUUCACUUUCACUUUUCACUUUCGUGCAUUGGAGAAGGAAAUGGCAACCC
ensembl:lncRNA